rnacentral:rRNA from 1 species
UACGUAGGUGGCAAGCGUUGUUCGGAAUUAUUGGGCGUAAAGGGCGCGUAGGCGGCAUGUUAAGUCGGCUGUGAAAGCCUGGGGCUCAACCCCAGAGGGUCGGCCGAUACUGGCAAGCUAGAGUACGGAAGAGGUAGCUGGAAUUCCCGGUGUAGCGGUGAAAUGCGUAGAUAUUGGGAAGAACACCGGAGGCGAAGGCGGGUUGCUGGGCCGACACUGACGCUGAGGAGCGAAAGCCAGGGGAGCAAACGGG